GCUUGUCUCAAAGAUUAAGCCAUGCAUGCCUCAGUGUAAACUUGUACACGGUGAAGAGUGGCUCAGUAAUAACCAGUUGCAGCUUACUUGGCGAUCAUUCUCUACAUGUAUAGCCAUGGUAAUUCUGCUGCGAGCACAUGCGCACACGCCCGAGUCUGUGGAAGGGUUGAUAGAAUCGUGCAGCACCCGCUGGCGAUGUGCCAUUCAGCUUUCUGACCCAUGAGCUUCCAUCGGUAGGGUGUUGGCCUACCGUGGUGAUGGCGGGUAACGAAGAAUUAGGGCUCGACUCCGGAGAGGGAGCCUGAGAAUUGGCUACCACAUCUAAGGAAGGCAGCAGG
rnacentral:rRNA from 1 species